rnacentral:tRNA from 1 species
GCUCGAUCCGGGCUGGGGCCACGGGGCCUCCUGGGCCCUGGGCUAUGGGGCCAUGGCGCUGGUGUUCCUGCUCGGCUGGUGGGGUGC